rnacentral:rRNA from 1 species
GACGAACGCUGGCGGCGUGCUUAACACAUGCAAGUCGAGCGGUAAGGCCCUUUCGGGGGUACACGAGCGGCGAACGGGUGAGUAACACGUGGGUGACCUGCCCUCCACUCUGGGAUAAGCCCGGGAAACUGGGUCUAAUACCGGAUAGGACCACUGAUCGCAUGGGUGGUGGUGGAAAGUUUUUUCGGUGGGGGAUGGGCCCGCGGCCUAUCAGCUUGUUGGUGGGGUGAUGGCCUACCAAGGCGGUGACGGGUAGCCGGCCUGAGAGGGCGACCGGCCACACUGGGACUGAGACACGGCCCAGACUCCUACGGGAGGCAGCAGUGGGGAAUAUUGCGCAAUGGGCGGAAGCCUGACGCAGCGACGCCGCGUGGGGGAUGACGGCCUUCGGGUUGUAAACCUCUUUCGCCAGGGACGAAGAGCAAUUGACGGUACCUGGAGAAGAAGCACCGGCCAACUACGUGCCAGCCGCCGCCGUAAUAC